rnacentral:rRNA from 1 species
GGCGCACGGGUGAGUAACGCGUAAAUAAUCUACCCUUGCAUUUGGGAUAACUAACCGAAAGGUUGGCUAAUACCGGAUACGUUUUUUCAGUUGCGAGACUGUUAAAAGAAAGGUGGCCUCUGAUAUAAGCUACUGUGCAGGGAGGAGUUUGCGUACCAUUAGCUAGUUGGUAGGGUAAUGGCCUACCAAGGCGACGAUGGUUAGCGGGUCUGAGAGGAUGAUCCGCCACACUGGGACUGAGACACGGCCCAGACUCC